UUCAAGUAUAAACGCAGGCCUGUACUCACCAUUACCUACCCCAAUUUCCAUUUGAGAAGAUCUAUCAAUUGAUUUCGGGCUCUGAUUACCAAAAACUCAAAGGCAGUAUGACUGAGUCAUGGUUGUAGUCGACAGAUUCAGUAAAAUGGCACACUUUGUGGCUUGUAAGAAGUCAAAUGAUGCCACCUACAUAGCUAAUUUAUUCUGUCGAGAGAUAGUUCGGCUGCACGGAGUACCAAAGACCAUUGUUUCUAAUCGGGAUGUCAAGUUCCUAAGCCAUUUCUGGAAGACAUUAUGGAGCAAAUUUGACACAACCUUGAAUGAAAUAUAGCACAACAUCACACCCUCAAACAGAUGGCCAAACAGAAGUUACAAAUAGAACUGUCGACAACUUAAUAUGCUGUCUUAGUGGAUCCAAACCAAAACAGUGGGACUUAGCUCUUGCACAGUCAGAAUUCGCCUUCAACAAUAUGAAGAAUAGAUCAACCGGCAAAUGUCCAUUUGAGGUCGUAUACACAAAACAGCCAAGACUAACAACCUUUGACCUAGCAUCACUCCCCACAACUAUUGACACUAGCUCAGAAGCAGAAAAGAUGGUAGAAAAGAUUCAGAAUUUACACGAAGAAGUCCAUAACCACCUAAAAGAAUCAACUCAGUCCUACAAAAAGGCAGCAGACAAAAAGAGAAGACAAGCUACCUUUACUGAGGGAGACUUAGUAAUGAUUCACCUCAGAAAAAUUCGAUUUCCAACUGGAACACAAACUGAAAGACAGACAAUUAGGACCAUUUCGUGUCCUAGAAAAGAUUUGAGAUAACGCUUACAGAAUUGAACUACCACCAGACUUGCACAUUCAUCCUAUUUUUAACGUGGCAGACCUGAAACAGUACUAUGCCCCAGAUGAUUUCUGCCUUGUCAACUAAGUCACUCGGGUCGAGUUCCAUGCUAGGGGGUGGAAUGAUGUAAUAUAGAAUGCCAUGGCUAAACAGCUGUAGUUAGUUAGUAAAACAGUUUAAAUAAUUAAACUGUUUAGCUGUUAAGACUGCAAUUAAAACUGUUUCAUAAAAACAGUUAUUUCAACUACUUGUAACUACUUACAAUCCUCAAUAUAUACUCCAUCUCUUAGCCACUAUUGGUGGAGAAUUCAUUGUGAAAAACUAAGUCCAACUUGAAUUACAUCAGUUUAUUAAGUCUGUUGAUUUGUGGAUGAACUAAAACAUAUACAUCUUUUCUAAAAAGGAUAAAAAAAACUUGCAUAAGUUUUCAUUUUCACAACUCUAUGAUUUGUGAUCAAUGCAGCAAGGAGCAGCUGGCAAACAAAUUUCUUUAUGCCAUAAAUGCGGAUGCUGGUUUUGAUCUAAGCUAAUGGAUGUUGUUGUUUUACCCUUCUUCUUGUUGAUAUACCUUUCGUAGCAUCCUUUCAUCCCUAAUCUCAUCCUCGACCACAACCACUGCUUUGACCACGAUCGUCUCUCCGAAGAUUUGUGAGACAGUUCCAUUAGGUUAUGGGCACUAAGUGGUGAAACAUUGAUGGAGAUGGUUGGUGACACUUCCAUUGUGUAUUCAGUGGAUUCACAUGCUUCCGAAGUCAUUGUUAGUGGGAGUGAAGAUUGUUCGGCAAAGAUAUGGAAAGAUGGAAUUUGUGUCUAGAGCAUUGAGCAUCCUGGUUGCGUUUGGGAUGCCAAGUUUUUGGAAAAUGGAGAUAUUGUCACAGCUUGUUUAGAUGGAGUAGUACGUGUCUGGACGGCAGAACAGGAAAGAAUUGCUGAUCCCCAAGAAUUGGAGUUAUUUGCUUCAAGACUGUCUCAGUAUAAGUUGAAGAGGUGCCCCACAACAGCUGCCACACACACACACACACUCACAAAGAGGAAGUUCCAAAAUCCUUUGGAAGAGGGUUGGAGGAUUGAAAUUGGAAGAAUUACCUGGGAUGGAUGCUUUACAAAUUCCAGGCUGUACUGGAGCUUGUCAUAAUCUUCCCAUGUUGCCUCAUGAGGAGGGAGACCUUGCCAUUUAAUCAAAACCUCACAGCUUCCUCUUUUAUUCUUCGAGUACCCAAAUAUUUCCUCCGGUAUAGAUUUCCACUCGUGAGUUUCAGUAACGUAAGGCAGCAUGUCUGUCUGUACAAGUUGAUGAUCACCAACCAUUUUUUUGAGUUGGGACACAUGAAACACUGGAUGGAUGGAAGCGGAUGCUGGCAACUCUAGCUUAUACGCAACCAGUAUGAUGCGUUCCACAAUCGUAUAAGGCCCAAAGAACUUGGGGGAUAGUUUCUCAUUUUUCUUUUGUCGUAAUGAGAUCUGUCUAUAGGGCCUAAUCUUCAGGAAGACCAUAUCGCCAACUGCAUACUCCACAUCAUGACGCUUCAAGUCUACGUUAUUUUUCAUCUUGUCUGUGCGACGAAUUAGUGUUCUUUUAGGACUCCCAGAAUUUCAACUCAUGCCUUGAGCUAUUCGUUUAAGGUAGUGUUUGGAGUGUCCCGGUCACCAUAAAACAUCAAUGGUGGUGGCAUACGUCCAUAGAUAGCCUGAAAUGGAGUGACCCCUACGGAUCUCUAAAAAGUAGUGUUGUACCAAUAUUCAGCCCAAUGUAUCCAUUUUGACCAUUCCUUAGGCCGUUCUCCACAAAAACAUCGCAGAUACGUCUCCACUCCCCUAUUAACCACCUCAGUUUUCCCAUCCGACUGAGGGUGAUAAGCGGUGCUUCGAUUUAAUCGGGUGCCUGCCAUUUUGAACAUUUCUUGCCAAAAGUUGCUCAAGAAUACCUUAUCUCGGUCGGACACUAUCGAUUUGGGAAAGCCAUGAAGUCGGACAAUCUCCUUAACAAAUAUAUUUGCUGAAUCUGUCCACCACUACAAAGAUGACUUCGAAACCAUUCGAUCUUGGUAAGCCCUCGAUAAAGUCCAUAGAUAUAUCGCUCCAAAUAUUGUUUGGACUGUCCAGGGACAGCAGCAGUCCGGUGGGGGAUAGUGCUAGGGAGUUGUUCUUCUGACAUAUUACACAUUCCUCACAAUACUUCUUAACAUCCGCCUUCAUUCCUUCCCAAUAUAGCUCACCAGUUGGUCGUUUGUAUGUGCAUAAAAAUCCAGAAUGGUCUCCAAGUACCGAAUCAUGGUAAGUAUGUAGGAUUGUGGGUAUCAAUGUAGAUGUUUUGGACAGCACAAACUUAUCCUUAUAUCUUAACAUACCUUGUCGGAUGGAGAAUUUACCCUCUGUUCCUUCUUCCAUUGCUUGUAGUUCUUCCAUUAUUUUGCUCAACUUUUCAUCCGCUUCGACUUCCUUUUUAAUCACCAGAAUGUCAACCAAUGUAGGAGCUGUUAUGCUACCGAGGUUAACUGUAGGAGGCAUCCAAGACAAGGCGUCUGCUGCUUUAUUCUCCAAGCCGGGUUUGUAGACCACCUCAAAUGAGUAUCCCGUUAGCUUCGCUA